rnacentral:misc_RNA from 1 species
UGAUCGCCACGACGGCCAUGGUCCUGAUGCUCGCGGUCGCGAUUCCGCUGGCCUCGUUCAUGGUCUUCCGAGCCGGGAAGUGGGAGCUGCCACUCCUGCUGGCGCUCGUGGUCGCCGACGAGCUGAACCCGAUCGUUCGGAUCUGGGCGUGGCGGAUGAUCCUCGGGCGACAGGGCAUCGUGAACUGGUUCCUCCAGACCACCGGCAUCACCGACGCGCCGGUCGAGUGGUUGAUCUUCACGCCGUUCGCGGUCAUCGUGGUGCUCUCGG